GACGGAGGGUGCUAGCGUUGUUCGGAAUCACUGGGCGUAAAGGGCGCGUAGGCGGCCCUGGCAGUCGGCUCGUGAAAGCCCGGGGCUCAACCCCGGAGGUGCGGCCGAAACACCAGGGCUGGAGGCCGGAAGAGGAGGGUGGAAUACCCAGUGUAGAGGUGAAAUUCGUAGAUAUUGGGUGGAACACCGGUGGCGAAAGCGGCUCUCUGGUCCGGACCUGACGCUGAGGCGCGAAAGCGUGGGGAGCAAACAGGAUUAGAUACCCUCGUAGUCC
rnacentral:rRNA from 1 species